GACGAACGCUGGCGGCGUGCUUAACACAUGCAAGUCGAGCGGUAAGGCCCUUUCGGGGGUACGACGAGCGGCGAACGGGUGAGUAACACGUGGGUGACCUGCCCUCAGCUCUGGGAUAAGCCUGGGAAACUGGGUCUAAUACUGGAUAUGACUCCACGGUGCAUGUCGUGGGGUGGAAAGCCUUGUGCGGCUGAGGAUGGGCCCGCGGCCUAUCAGCUUGUUGGUGGGGUGAGGCCUACCAAGGCGACGCCGGGUAGCCGGCCUGAGAGGGCGACCGGCCACACUGGGACUGAGACACGGCCCAGACUCCUACGGGAGGCAGCAGUGGGGAAUCUUGCGCAAUGGGCGAAAGCCUGACGCAGCGACGCCGCGUGAGGGAUGACGG
rnacentral:rRNA from 1 species